rnacentral:rRNA from 1 species
CCUACGGGAGGCUGCAGUGAGGAAUAUUGGUCAAUGGACGAGAGUCUGAACCAGCCAAGUAGCGUGAAGGAUGACUGCCCUAUGGGUUGUAAACUUCUUUUAUAUGGGAAUAAAAUGUUCCACGUGUGGGAUUUUGUAUGUACCAUAUGAAUAAGGAUCGGCUAACUCCGUGCCAGCAGCCGCGGUAAUACGGAGGAUCCGAGCGUUAUCCGGAUUUAUUGGGUUUAAAGGGAGCGUAGGUGGAUUGUUAAGUCAGUUGUGAAAGUUUGCGGCUCAACCGUAAAAUUGCAGUUGAAACUGGCAGUCUUGAGUACAGUAGAGGUGAGCGGAAUUCGUGGUGUAGCGGUGAAAUGCUUAGAUAUCACGAAGAACUCCGAUUGCGAAGGCAGUUCACUGGACUGCAACUGACACUGAGGCUCGAAAGUGUGGGUAUCAAACAGGAUUAGAUACCCGUGUAGUC